rnacentral:rRNA from 1 species
AUUGAACGCUGGCGGCAGGCCUAACACAUGCAAGUCGAACGGUAACAGAAAGCAGCUUGCUGCUUUGCUGACGAGUGGCGGACGGGUGAGUAAUGUCUGGGAAACUGCCUGAUGGAGGGGGAUAACUACUGGAAACGGUAGCUAAUACCGCAUAACGUCGCAAGACCAAAGAGGGGGACCUUCGGGCCUCUUGCCAUCGGAUGUGCCCAGAUGGGAUUAGCUAGUAGGUGGGGUAAAGGCUCACCUAGGCGACGAUCCCUAGCUGGUCUGAGAGGAUGACCAGCCACACUGGAACUGAGACACGGUCCAGACUCCUACGGGAGGCAGCAGUGAGGAAUAUUGCACAAUGGGCGCAAGCCUGAUGCAGCCAUGCCGCGUGUAUGAAGAAGGCCUUCGGGUUGUAAAGUACUUUCAGCGGGGAGGAAGGGAGUAAAGUUAAUACCUUUGCUCAUUGACGUUACCCGCAGAAGAAGCACCGGCUAACUCCGUG